UGGAGCGUGUGGUUUAAUUCGAUGCUACACGAAGAACCUUACCAGGGUUUGACAUGCAAGUGGUAGGAAACCGAAAGGCGACCGACCCUUCGGGGAGCUUGCACAGGUGCUGCAUGGCUGUCGUCAGCUCGUGUCGUGAGAUGUUCGGUUAAGUCCGCUAACGAGCGCAACCCUCGCUGUGUGUUAUAUGUGUCACACGGGACUGCCGGCCUUAAGCCGGAGGAAGGUGAGGAUGAUGUCAAGUCAGCAUGGCCUUUAUAUCUUGGGCA
rnacentral:rRNA from 1 species